rnacentral:hammerhead_ribozyme from 1 species
AUCCAGCUCACGAGUUCAAAAUAGGACGAAACGAGCAUUCUGGAU